rnacentral:rRNA from 1 species
UACGUAGGGGGCAAGCGUUAAUCGGAAUUACUGGGCGUAAAGCGUGCGCAGGCGGUUAUGCAAGACAGAGGGGAAAUCCCCGGGCUCAACCUGGGAACUGCCUUUGUGACUGCAUGGCUAGAGUACGGUAGAGGGGGAUGGAAUUCCGCGUGUAGCAGUGAAAUGCGUAGAUAUGCGGAGGAACACCGAUGGCGAAGGCAAUCCCCUGGGCCUGCACUGACGCUCAUGCACGAAAGCGUGGGGAGCAAACAGG